ensembl:lncRNA
CAGCUCAUGUGUGAGGGAAGAGACCCCCUCCAAUGAGAAGGGAGGCAGAGAGUGGGAAAAGUGGCAACUCGGGUACAAAGGAGCAAAGAACGGUGAUUCAUAAGGAGGGUGGGAGAGCCAGGCCUGCCUGCCUCCACGCCUGCCACAGUAUAGAUUCCACGCCUGGCACUUACUUGGCAGAUGAACCACGAGCGCACUGACUGCCAGCUUUAUAAAGAAAUACCAGGAACAGUCUCCAUACUGAAAAAAAAAGAAAAAAAAACGUGUAUUUGAAGAGUUUACCUGCCUGUGCAUGCUGAGUAGGCUGCCAGCUGAGACUGGUGGUAAAGGAUAUUGAUAGAAGUAAAGAGUCCAGGAAAGAGACUAAAAAUGUCAGAAAGGAAGUAUUCAUGUUUCUGAACUUUGAGACAACAAGAUUGAUUCUGCAGGAAAGCACAGGCCUUGAACAAUCAGCUUUGGCCUCAGGCUACAGAGGCAUGUGGGAUAUUGGCUCCCUGACUGGGGAUUGAACCUGCACCCCUUGCUAUGGAAGGUGAAGUCUUAACAACUGAACCAUCAGAGAAGUCCUGAGAAAGCCUUAAUAUGGAAAAAAAAAGUCAAUGGAGCUAAGAGAGUGUGCUUAGUAACGAUUCUAUGUAAUUGUUAGGAGAAUUAGAAACAUUGCUUCCACAUGUGCUCCUGCAGACCCAACAUCUCUGACAAAGAAGCCCAGCUUGUUUUCUCUUGAUCGUUUCCACUUCUGAGCUAUUCACACUGCGAUAUAAAUGAUUAAUAUCAAAUUAAUCCUCAAUAUGGAAAAGAGAACAUCAAAAUGUCAGGAAACAUCAUGGAGCAAGGUGUGGCAGAUAAUCUCUGGGACCCUGCAAGCAUAACAAUACAUAUAUAAUAGCAUAGUCCCCUCCCUCAGCUGGGGGUCAAACAAAUGAAUAAUGAAUGCUCAUCAUAAUAAGUAUGAUAUGAAGAUACAACAGAAACCUAUUU